AACGAACGCUGGCGGCAGGCUUAACACAUGCAAGUCGAGCGCCCCGCAAGGGGAGCGGCAGACGGGUGGGUAACGCGUGGGAACGUACCUUUUGGUUCGGAACAACUCCGGGAAACUGGAGCUAAUACCGGAUAAGCCCUAACGGGGAAAGAUUUAUCGCCGAAAGAUCGGCCCGCGUCUGAUUAGCUAGUUGGUGAGGUAACGGCUCACCAAGGCGACGAUCAGUAGCUGGUCUGAGAGGAUGAUCAGCCACACUGGGACUGAGACACGGCCCAGACUCCUACGGGAGGCAGCAGUGGGGAAUAUUGGACAAUGGGCGCAAGACUGAUCCAGCCAUGCCGCGUGAGUGAUGAAGGCCUUAGGGUUGUAAAGCUCUUUUGUCCGGGAAGAUAAUGACUGUACCGGAAGAAUAAGCCCCGGCUAACUUCGUG
rnacentral:rRNA from 1 species